ensembl:lncRNA
GUGUACAUCUGUUUGCUGUGUGGGACUGAUCACCACCCCUUCCACGUUAGCAGUCAUGGAUCAUUUCUGCUGACAGAAGACAAACUACCUGGUGACCAGGUCAGCCCUAGUUCCUAGGCUUCUGAAUUCCCAGGUAAGCCAUAACUCUUCUGAAAAUCCUGAAGUGUGCAUCUGUUUUUCAGUGUGGAUUUAAACACCAUUAAAGCUAAUGGAACUAAGCAUGUGAAUGUCAUUAAACUCAUGGCUCGGUGCUUCACUGAUGGAUUUAAAUAGGCGUUCCUGCAACAAGACAACAUCUGGAGAAGGGACAGCUGGAGGCAGGGGACCAUGUCAGUCCCACAGCUGCAGAGGCAUUCUAUCCAAAAUGCGCAGAUAAUUCCU